rnacentral:lncRNA from 1 species
AUGUCUCAGCGUCAGAAAUCAGAGGAGACUUUAAGAAAAAAAAAAAAAAGGAAAAGACCUUUGCGUUUCGGCGAGGCCUGCACUCGGUGCUGGAAGAGUGCGCCGUUCCGUUUUGGGGCAGGGAGCACAGGGAAGCGCAGGAGGGGAGCCCCGUGCCGGCGGCCCCGCCCGGCCCCUUCCCGCAGCCCUGCAUCCAGCCCUGCUCCGCCGCCCGCCAGGGCCCCCUCCCGGCCCUCGCCCUCGCCCUCGCGCUCCCGGGAUGCCUGCCCCGGGGACCCCCCUGGAGCCGGACCUCCCCCGGAGCCCCGGAGCCUCGCGAGCACCCGCCGGCCCCCCCCCCGAGGACGCCUUCCGUCCGGCUCGGACGCCGGCCCACCCGAGCCCCCCGCAGGCCAGUCCGCCCGCACUCACCGCCUCGGGCCGGCCGGGCCCCGGGGGGCGGGGGCGGGGCGGGGCGGGGGCGCACUCCGGGGCGCACUCCGGGGCUCGCGCCCGCGCUCCCGCACGGCCUCCGGCUCCGCACACCCACACCCACACCCACACGCACACGCACACGCGGGCGGCGCGCGCCGAGCCGGCUCCGCGGCGGACGCGAGCGCGGAAGCGCGAGGAAUCCCUGGAAUGAGGCGCCGCCCGCCCUCCGCGGGGCUCCGCCUGGCCCGCCAGGACACGCCCCGGACACGCCCCCGGACACGCCCCUCCCGCCAGGCAGGUGGGGGCCGCGCCCAGGGCCCACAAAUGAGCCUCACCUCUACCAUGACCCAACACGAAUUUUACCCUUCACCAAGCAGUGAUGGGACCAUUUGAGUGGUAGUAAUCCAAGUCUCAAAUUGUUUGUGGAAUUCAAUGAAGGGGACACUCCGAGGUUUGGAGAGGUACCAUUUGAAAUCUGUCAAGGAGUCAGUGGUGAGUAUUUUCUGAACAUCAGCUCUUUUCACAGCAUGGUUCUGAAUGGACGCCCUUAAGCAAGGCAAGACUUAUGGCCAGAACAAUUGCUUAGACUUCAGCUGAGUGAUAUCUGUCUAACUUAUCCAAAGAUUGGAUUCAUCCUCACACAAGGAAUUUUCCUUCAACUACUAUAAGAACAAUUCACCUUGGCAAUAGAUGCUUGCCAUCUUUCUUAGAGACAAACAAGUGGUCUGGGCAAGGACAUAAUAGGAGCCAUUUUCCAGGGAAAAUAAUGUUGUAGAUGCUGGAUUCAAGGUCAUUGAGAGUUUGACCACAGGUAACUAGCUAACUCUCAGACAGAGAAUGGUUUGAGUCAGGGAACUUACCAGAAAUGAGCAUGUGUUUUUCCUUUGAGUGUGGAAUCACUCAGAGGACACCACCAUCUAGGAGAGAAAUUCUUCAAACCAAGAUUGCCAUGUCUCUCUUGGCUCCAGUUUCUUGCUUUGCAUUCGGCUCUUACAAGCAUGUGCUAUACAUAAGCAAGAAGAAGAUAAACAAGGAAGGAAGAAGAUCAACAUUCUUGGGUGCCAACUACAUGCAAGGCACUCUGCUGAGCAUUCCCAUUUGACACAACCUGAAUCCUGUGAGGAAGACAUUAUCAACCCCUUCCUACAGAUGAGACAAUGGGGGCUUAGAAAGGGUAAAACCUUUGCCUUAGUAGUACAGAGCCAGGAUUCAAACCAACUGUCCUGAUCCUGAUUCAAUAACCUUUCAGCGAUAUCACUAAGUUUACCCAGAAACAACUCUAUUGAGAAUCUCUAAGUAAACCAUUAAAUCUACUCUUAUAAACCAACACUUCAUCUCUGAAGGCAAAUGUCUCCUCUUGGUGGCCCAUCCUUGGUGGGCUACUGUAUGGAAUUGGAAUUUACUGAGGUUCUAACAUCAUUUUUGACGUUGUUUGUCAAAGGAUGGACAAACACUUGGAACAUGAGAAUUGCUGAGACAUCAGCAUCAGCCAGACCAGAGUUCAAACCUCAGUCCCACCAUUGUCCAGCUGUAUGAUGCUGGUCACACACUUGGCCACUGCCCACCCUUCCAUCUUCUCUCCUAUACAUUGGGUAUAAUUCCUACUUAGAAAGGUUUGGUAAGACAAGUAUUGACAGACAAAUACAGACAAAGAAAGACAAAUAUUGUAUGAUCUACUUAUAUGUGGAAUAAGAAAGAAAGAAAGAAAGAAAGAAAGAAAGAAAGAAAGAAAGAAAGAAAGAAAGAGAAAGAAAGAAAGAAAGAAAGAAAGAAAGAAAGAAAGAAAGAAAAAGAAAGAAAGAAAGAAAAAGAAGAAAGAAAGAAGAAAGAAAGAAAGAAAGAGAAGAAAGAAAAAAGAAAGAAAGAAAGAAAAGAAGAAAGAAAGAAGAAAGAAAGAAAGAAAGAGAAGAAAGAAAAAAGAAAGAAAGAAAGAAAGAAAAAGAAGAAAGAAAGAAAGAAAGAAAGAAAGAAGAAAGAAAGAAAAGAAAGAAAGAAAGAAAGAAAGAAAGAAAGAAAGGAAAAGAAACCAAACUCAUAGAAAAAGAGACCUGAUUUAUGAUUGCCAGACGCAGGGUUGGGGCAUAAUAGGAGGAAGGUGCUCAGAAAGUACAAACUUCCAGUUACAAAAUACAUGAGUACUAGGAAUGUAACGUAUAACAUGAUGACCACCUUAACACUGACAUAUGGUAUAUAUUUAUAUAUUUGAAAGUUAUUAAGAAAGUAAAUCCUCAUCACAAGGAAAAAAAUUUUCUUUUUCUUUCUUUGUAUCUAUAGGAGCUGAUGGAUGUUAACUAAACAAUGUGGUGAUCCGGGAUGCCUGGGUGGCUCAGUGGUUGAGUAUCUGCCUUCAGCCCAGGCCUGAUCCUGGAGUCCUAGGAUCGCAUCCCCCAUCGGGCUCCCUGCAUGCAGCCUGCUUCUCCCUCUGCCUGUGUCUCUGCCUCUCUCUCUCUCUCUCUCUCUCUCAUAAAUAAAUAAAUAAAUAAAUAAAUAAAUUAAUAAAUAAAUAAAUAAAAUUUUAAAAAACAAAACAAUGUGGUGAUUGUUUCACAAUAUGUGUAAGUCAAGACAUGGUAUCCAGGGUUGUGGGUCAAUUAUACAUCAUUAAAACGGGAAAAA